rnacentral:tRNA from 1 species
GUGGGUAUAGCUCAGUGGUAGAGUGUGUGCUUAGCAUGCACGAGGUCCUAGGUUCAAUCUCCAGUACCUCCA